rnacentral:rRNA from 1 species
UCGGCUUAGAGUUUGAUCAUGGCUCAGAUUGAACGCUGGCGGCAGGCUUAACACAUGCAAGUCGAGCGGUAGGGGAGCUUGCUCCCCACGAGCGGCGGACGGGUGAGUAAUGUCUGGGAAACUGCCUGAUGGAGGGGGAUAACUACUGGAAACGGUAGCUAAUACCGCAUAACGUCGCAAGACCAAAGAGGUUCGUCUUGCCAUCAGAUGUGCCCAGAUGGGAUUAGCUAGUAGGUGGGGUAAUGGCUCACCUAGGCGACGAUCCCUAGCUGGUCUGAGAGGAUGACCAGCCACACUGGAACUGAGACACGGUCCAGACUCCUACGGGAGGCAGCAGUGGGGAAUAUUGCACAAUGGGCGCAAGCCUGAUGCAGCCAUGCCGCGUGUGUGAAGAAGCCUUCGGGUUGUAAAGCACUUUCAGCGAGGAGGAAGGUGGUGAGUAAUCUCAUCAAUUGACGUUACUCGCAGAAGAAGCACCGGCUAACUCCGUGCCAGCAGCCGCGGUAAUAC